GAAAUAUGGUUCAGGAAACUCCAGAGACUGGGCUGCCAAAGGACCGUAUUUACUGGGUGUGAAAGCUGUUUUGGCCGAAAGUUAUGAAAAAAUACACAAAGAUCAUUUGAUUGGAAUUGGCAUAGCUCCACUUCAGUUCCUUCCAGGAGAAAAUGCAGAUUCCUUGGGCCUCUCCGGUAGAGAAACAUUUUCUUUAACAUUUCCUGAAGAACUGUCUCCUGGAAUUACAUUGAAUAUACAGGUAUCUCUAAAUUUUUCAAAUAUAUGA
rnacentral:lncRNA from 1 species